rnacentral:rRNA from 1 species
GACGAACGCUGGCGGCGUGCCUAAUACAUGCAAGUCGAACGAACCGCGACUAAGUGCUUGCACUAAGUCAAGGUGAGUGGCGAACGGGUGAGUAACACGUGGGUAACCUACCUCAUAGUGGGGGAUAACAGUCGGAAACGACUGCUAAUACCGCAUAGGACAUAGGAUCACAUGAUCCAGUGAGGAAAGGUGGCGCAAGCUAUCGCUAAGAGAUGGACCCGCGGUGCAUUAGCUAGUUGGUAGGGUAAAGGCCUACCAAGGCGAUGAUGCAUAGCCGACCUGAGAGGGUGAUCGGCCACAUUGGGACUGAGACACGGCCCACACUCCUACGGGAGGCAGCAGUAGGGAAUCUUCCGCAAUGGACGCAAGUCUGACGGAGCAACGCCGCGUGAGUGAAGAAGGUCUUCGGAUCGUAAAGCUCUGUUGUUAGAGAAGAACAGCGCAUAGAGUAACUGCUAUGCGUGUGACGGUAUCUAACCAGAAAGCCACGGCUAACUACGUG